GGUGAGGUGGCCGAGAGGUUGAAGGCGCUCCCCUGCUAAGGGAGUGUACAGAAAAACUGUACCGAGGGUUCAAAUCCCUCUCUCACCG
rnacentral:tRNA from 1 species